GCUGGGCAUGGUCGCACAUGCCUGUAAUCCUAGCCUCUUGGGAGGCUGAAGCAGGAGAAUCACGAGGUCAAAGCCAGACUCAGCAAUGACCAGGUACUAAGCAACUCAGUGAGACCCUGUCUCUA
rnacentral:sRNA from 1 species